rnacentral:rRNA from 1 species
AACGAACGCUGGCGGCAUGCCUAACACAUGCAAGUCGAACGAGACCUUCGGGUCUAGUGGCGCACGGGUGCGUAACGCGUGGGAAUCUGCCCUUGGGUUCGGAAUAACAGCGAGAAAUUGCUGCUAAUACCGGAUGAUGACGUAAGUCCAAAGAUUUAUCGCCCAAGGAUGAGCCCGCGUAGGAUUAGCUAGUUGGUGAGGUAAAGGCUCACCAAGGCGACGAUCCUUAGCUGGUCUGAGAGGAUGAUCAGCCACACUGGGACUGAGACACGGCCCAGACUCCUACGGGAGGCAGCAGUGGGGAAUAUUGGACAAUGGGCGAAAGCCUGAUCCAGCAAUGCCGCGUGAGUGAUGAAGGCCUUAGGGUUGUAAAGCUCUUUUACCCGGGAUGAUAAUGACAGUACCGGGAGAAUAAGCUCCGGCUAACUCCGUGCCAGCAGCCGCGU